GAUGAACGCUGGCGGCGUGCCUAAUACAUGCAAGUCGAGCGAACGGACGAGAAGCUUGCUUCUCUGAUGUUAGCGGCGGACGGGUGAGUAACACGUGGAUAACCUACCUAUAAGACUGGGAUAACUUCGGGAAACCGGAGCUAAUACCGGAUAAUAUUUUGAACCGCAUGGUUCAAAAGUGAAAGACGGUCUUGCUGUCACUUAUAGAUGGAUCCGCGCUGCAUUAGCUAGUUGGUAAGGUAACGGCUUACCAAGGCAACGAUGCAUAGCCGACCUGAGAGGGUGAUCGGCCACACUGGAACUGAGACACGGUCCAGACUCCUACGGGAGGCAGCAGUAGGGAAUCUUCCGCAAUGGGCGAAAGCCUGACGGAGCAACGCCGCGUGAGUGAUGAAGGUCUUCGGAUCGUAAAACUCUGUUAUUAGGGAAGAACAUAUGUGUAAGUAACUGUGCACAUCUUGACGGUACCUAAUCAGAAAGCCACGGCUAACUACGUGCCAGCAGCCGCGGUAAUACGUAGGUGGCAAGCGUUAUCCGGAAUUAUUGGGCGUAAAGCGCGCGUAGGCGGUUUUUUAAGUCUGAUGUGAAAGCCCACGGCUCAACCGUGGAGGGUCAUUGGAAACUGGAAAACUUGAGUGCAGAAGAGGAAAGUGGAAUUCCAUGUGUAGCGGUGAAAUGCGCAGAGAUAUGGAGGAACACCAGUGGCGAAGGCGACUUUCUGGUCUGUAACUGACGCUGAUGUGCGAAAGCGUGGGGAUCAAACAGGAUUAGAUACCCUGGUAGUCCACGCCGUAAACGAUGAGUGCUAAGUGUUAGGGGGUUUCCGCCCCUUAGUGCUGCAGCUAACGCAUUAAGCACUCCGCCUGGGGAGUACGACCGCAAGGUUGAAACUCAAAGGAAUUGGCGGGGACCCGCACAAGCGGUGGAGCAUGUGGUUUAAUUCGAAGCAACGCGAAGAACCUUACCAAAUCUUGACAUCCUUUGACAACUCUAGAGAUAGAGCCUUCCCCUUCGGGGGACAAAGUGACAGGUGUUGCAUGGUUGUCGUCAGCUCGUGUCGUGAGAUGUUGGGUUAAGUCCCGCAACGAGCGCAACCCUUAAGCUUAGUUGCCAUCAUUAAGUUGGGCACUCUAAGUUGACUGCCGGUGACAAACCGGAGGAAGGUGGGGAUGACGUCAAAUCAUCAUGCCCCUUAUGAUUUGGGCUACACACGUGCUACAAUGGACAAUACAAAGGGCAGCGAAACCGCGAGGUCAAGCAAAUCCCAUAAAGUUGUUCUCAGUUCGGAUUGUAGUCUGCAACUCGACUACAUGAAGCUGGAAUCGCUAGUAAUCGUAGAUCAGCAUGCUACGGUGAAUACGUUCCCGGGUCU
rnacentral:rRNA from 1 species